GAUUGAAUGUGGAUUAAAAAAUAUAUCAUUUUUUUAUAAUAGUAAAUGUCACUGUUUAUCCAGUAAUCCUUCUGAUUUGUUUUUUUUAUUUAUUUCUGUCAACUGCUGAUUUGGUUUUAAGUUCUUUGUUUUAAUUAUUUAACACUUUCAGUUUAUUGUUGACUACAAACUUUAUUUUCGUGGAAAACAGAUUAAAUGAUGACAUUUCAGUUUCAAACCAAAUUGACCUUCAACGACGUUUGUGUUUAUCCUGAUUUAUCCUGAAACAUCCGUCAGAAUAAGCGGGACAUUUCAGAGGCGCAGCCCGGGAAAGCGCUGCUCUCCGCGGGCACUCGGAGCGCCGAGCGCACGCUCUCCUGGGUGAACUCCGGCGAGCUCUGUUAGCCGCUAGCUGCGCUAAUAUCUCCGACAACACCGGAGCAAAUCCACAAUGAAGCGCUUUCUUGACAGGUCGACCGCAGUUUGCACUCUAAACGUCUAUUUUUCUCACAUGAAAUCGACGUAAAGGAGCUGCGUGUGUUGUGGAAACCCUGCAGGUAAACACUGGUAUUGUCCGGUUAGCUGAUGAGACGAUAGGCAGCGAAAAACGGGAGCUCCCGGCCAAAUUAAAAAAAGACAAGGAAGAAACCCCAUAGUUGCAAGUAGAAGUCGUGAGAGUAUAGAUCAUGGACAGAUCACAAAGUACGAAAGGAAGAGAGAGAACGACGAGGGUUGAAAAACAGUCGGGAAAGAUGCAGGCCUAUGUGGAAGAUGAACACUAGCUAGCUGGCGACAUUGAACAACCUAGCUGGGUGAACGCGUUGCAAACUAGCUUGCAGAAUGGCUUAGAUAGCAUGCAAGCUAAAAUCGAGAGGGGACAGCACAGCAUGGACGCCAAAUUAGACCUUAUUGGCAAACAUAUGGAAGACAAUCUCAAAGGAGUCCAUGAAAAUGUGGGACAAUUGAGGGAAUAUAUGGACAAACUCAGGGAGGAGAUGAAGGAAAUCCAGGAAAUUCUCAAAGCCUCGUUAGAACAACAAAACAAACUCCGAGAGAAGGUAUCUGAAUUAGAACGGAGAUCAAGAAGAAAUAAUAUCCGACUGUGGGGACUGAAGGAGGCUCUGUUACUGAAUACGUGGAUAAAUUAAAUUGUCACAGGAUAUUAAGCUGGAGAUUCCGAGAGCGCACAGAGCAUCAGCGCCGAAACCGCAGCCGAACAAACCUCCAAGCAAUUAUUGCCCAAGACGGUCUGGCUGCAGAGCUGCACUGUCAGGACUGGAAGUUGAUUCGAAGCCUUUCAAAAUAAAAGCGAGCAUACCGGAAGCACAUAUACCAAAUAAAAGCGAACAUAUUGGAAGCACGUAUUUUCCGCUCCCCAUGUGAAGUGUGGAGACGACGAGAUGCAUAUUUCAAUCUUAAGUACCGGCAUUACGCCCAAAGUUGAACGCUGCACGUCAUGCUGCAAGCAAUUUCACUGCCCCCUGUGCCUGAAGGUGAAACCAACACAAUUGUGCAAGCUGCAGAGGCACACACUGAAGGUGGCAUUUUAUUUAAAGGAAAGGCCCAACAAGCCAAACAGCAACCAUGUGACUCCAGUUGUCUGUUCAUUCAUGUCAUUACUCAGGAUGAAGGCGUGCUGCAACACCUUAAGAAAAUCAUCACAGGCAACACUGUGUCUCCCUGGGCCAAGAAGGAGGACAGUGUCUUCAGUCUUUUUGAAGAUGAUGACCAAGUGGACCAGGUGAUGCACUUGUUGUCUGGAGUGGUUGAAAGUCCACAGACAGAUAAGAAGUCUGCAGAUCAUACAGAGCUGUCCUCUCCAUCUCCCUGGACAAAGACAAA